GUGUCCUACGGGGCGCAGCAGUAGGGAAUCUUCCACAAUGGACGAAAGUCUGAUGGAGCAACGCCGCGUGAGUGAAGAAGGGUUUCGGCUCGUAAAGCUCUGUUGGUAGUGAAGAAAGAUAGAGGUAGUAACUGGCCUUUGUUUGACGGUAAUUACUUAGAAAGUCACGGCUAACUACGUGCCAGCAGCCGCGGUAAUACGUAGGUGGGAAGCGUUGUCCGGAUUUAUUGGGCGGAAAGCGAGUGCAGGCGGGUCAAUAAAGGU
rnacentral:rRNA from 1 species